AAAAAAAAAAAAAAAAAAAAAAAAAAAAAAAAUUCAGGAAAAUGCAAAUCAGAAUCAGAAUGAAAUGUCUCCGAACACCUGAUAGAAUGGCUACUAUCAAAAAGACAAGAGACAACAAGUGUUGGUCACAAUGUGGAGACAAGGGAUCCUUCACACACUGUUGAGGGGAACGUAAACUGGUGCAGCCAUCACGGAAAACAGGACGGAGGUUCCUCCAAAAACUCAAAACAAGGUCCAGUCUUUCUGAGGCCCCCUUCUGCUUGCCUGUGACCACCCUUCUUCCAACCCUCCAGCUCCAGGUCCCCUCUACUGCUCUUAGAGGCGGCGUCUUCGCACUCUGGGCCUUACGGCAGCUGCUCCUCCAGGUUUGCUCUCCAACUGCAGCCUUCCCUGUCCUGCGCGACCACCGGCCUCCUGGUGUCCUCUGCCUAUAGUGGAAACCCCUCCAACACUGUGCCAUCACCUCCGUUUACUCUCACCGCCUCCUCCACUUAAUUGCAAGCUCCAGGGAGGCAUGUUUUCAUCUGAUGCGUUCACCCCAAGUACUAACAGCUAUGCCUGGCACAUAGUAGAUGCUAAAUGGAUAUUUGAUGAACUUAAAAACAAAAUUCAAACGAUUCCUUCCCUCUCUGGUCAAUGGAAGACGGAGAAGGAAUGAAAUUGAACUCCAAUAGGCAAAACAAAGGGCGGGAGGGUGGUGUGCUGACCGCCUCCUCCCGCACCCCGCUGGGCCCCAACCCACCCCGCCCGGCCCCCACGGGAUCCUUUUCUACAAGGGUGAGAGGAGCUGACUCCGGUUUGGACUGGAAAAAAGUUUCCAAGAAAAUAAAAUUAGUGGCCCAAGCACAUACCCCUCCUCCGCCCCGCGCAGGCUCUGAGAUGCGUUCCAGCAAUUGCCCAGGGACUUGGAGGGAGCGGGCAUUUUCAGGGUCACAGAGGCCAUCUGGGGAGAAAGGGUGCGGCUGUUUUGCUGAAAUGUGAAAAGAGAUGUCAUUUGGAGCCCUGGACGCCAUUUCCGGCUGGCUACCUGAGGUUGCGUGCAAGGGGCGGGUCCUUAGGCAUGAAAAUGACCCGCCCGGCCGCAAAGGCGCACAGGCCCAGGGCCGCAGAGCCCCUCCAAGCCGGGAUCGGUCUUGGAGACCUGCGCGAUGCAGCAGACAGCGGGACUGCGGGGCGCUGCAGUGCAGGCUGUACAGCUGCAGAGGAGCCGGGAAUACAGGGGUGCGGGGCGCAGGGAUGCCGGGCGCCGGGGACGGUCACUGUUGCUUUCUACUGGGUUGUGCAGGCUCAGGUUCCCAGGGCUGGGUGGUUGCUACUCUGCAUAAAACGCUAAGACUUUGAGGCCCUUAUUCAUUCUAGGGGACGUCUCCCAAUUGGUCAAUUCAAAACCUCUGGGCCAGGUUGCGUUGGUUGCAGAUUCCACCCUCUGAGUCUCCGUACGCUGCCGCUGCAGCUGCCUCGGGUCUGCUCCUCCUCCGGGGUCAGAACCUCCGAUGCUCUCCUAGUUUUACAAGCGUUAAGUCACUGGUUUCUCGCAGCAUCGCGUGUUCCCUAGAUACAUGGGCUGAGGCUUAUUCUUCCUGAAAGUGAGGCUUUUUUCCCUUGGGCUUUCCAGAGCCAGCCCGCGUGGGGAGUGACGAGUGACAGGCGCCUUUGUUCUGGGCUUGCAUGGGUGGGACGUGCCCCCUCCUCAGCACUCAGCCCGGGCGAGCCUGGCCCGCCCAUCGCCCCUUCUCAAGUGCAUUUGUCCCGGGUUCUCGACUUGGUUCACUCUUUCCUGCUUACACAGAUACACACACACACCCAGACCUAAACUUUAUAUAAACAGACAUGAACUUAAAGAAACAAAACCCCCAUUAUGUGUCAACGCGAUCCUUUUAAACAAAAUCAAUAAAAAUUCAACACGAUGUUAUUUCCAUACUUUUGUUGUCUUAUUAUUAGAAACGUGUAUGUUAACUUUCCUCCUUUUAUAAAUGAGACAUGUUCUAAUUAACCAUUUGUAUGGUUGUUUUUAAUGCUCAAAUGGUCACACUGCAGGCCCAGGGAGGUAUUUUGAAAACGCUGCUGUCCUUUUGGGGUCACCCUGAUUGUUGGAAGCAUCUUUGCUUUUGUUUUUGCUUUGUUUUUGUUUUGCUGAGACGGGGUCUAGCUCUGCCGCCUAAUCAAGCUCACUGUGGCCUCAAAACUCCUGGCUCAAGCAAUCCUCCGGCCUCAGGCUCCCAAGUAGCUGGUACUACAGACAGAGUCUCACCCUGUCUCCCAGGCUGGAGUGCAAUGGCACAAUCUCGGCUCACUGCAACCUCUGCCUCCUGGGUUCAAGCGAUUCUCCUGCCUCAGCCUCCCAAGUAGCUGGGACUACAGGCACUGCGUCACCAUGCCUGGCUAAUUUUUUGUAUCUUUAGUAGAAAUGGGGUUUCACAAUGUUGGCCGGGCUGGUCUCGAACCCCUGACCUUGUGAUCUGCCUGCCUCAACCUCCCAAAGUGCUGGGAUUACAGGCGUGAGCCACCACGCCUGGCCACUGUUCUCUUUUUUUAAUGAUGGUGUAGAUGUCUACCCUGUGGAGAUAUAUUGAUCUUCAAAAUCACCGUGAUAGUACAGUUAUUAUGGAAAAUAUUAUUAAAUUCAAAAUAGAACUCCCAAAUGAUACAGCAACCCCACUGCUAGGGAUAUAUCUAAAGGAAAUAAAAUCCGUAUCCAGAAGAGAGAUCUGCACCAUGUUCACUGCAGCACCAUUUACAAUAACUAAGACAUGGAGCUAACCUAUGUAUCCAUUGUCGGAUGAAUGGGUAAAGAAAAUGUGGUACAUAUGCACAAUGAAAUACUAUUCCGGCCUUAAAACAUAAUGAAAUUCCCUCAUUUGGGACAACAGGGGUGAAAUGAGAACAUUAUGUUAAGUGAAAUUAGCCAGAUAUAGAAAGACAAACACUGCAUAAUCUCACUUCUAUGUGGAAUCUAAAGAGGUUGAUAUCAUAAAGCAGAGAGUGGAAUGAUGGUCACCAGGGUCUGGGGGCUAGAGACGCUGACUAAAGGGCAUGCAAUUUCAGCAACACAGGAGAAGUCAGUUCAAGACAUCUAAUGUGCAACACAGUGACUAUAAUUCACAGCAAUGUAGUACAUGAAAAUUCCUAAGAGAGCAGAUUUUAGGUGUUGUCACCACAAAUAAAUAUGUGAGGCAAUGUCUGUUAAUUAGCUUGAUUUAGCCAUUCCCCAAUCCAUAUUCCAAAUAUAAUACAUAUUUCAAAACAUCAGCUUGUAUACCAUAUGUACAAUUUUUGUCAGUUUAAAGAAAUAAAGAAGAAAAAA
ensembl:lncRNA